CUUUCAUCAAUUGCCUAAAACUGGUGUACUGAAGGCUAGUUGCUCAACUUAUAUGUUUAAAUAAACGAUAUAAUUUGCAGCAUGCCAGCUUUGGGCUUUCAGUGGAUGGAAGGAUUAUUACAUCUUUUACUAGGAAAUGUAGCAUCUAUUCUUCUCCAUAUUGCAGACAGGUUGAUACCAACUUCAACGUUUGGGUCCUCGCCUCGAAUAAAGACCAUGAUGCAACUCAUCAAUUGCCUGAGAUUGGCGAAGAUGAUCCAUCGGUUAUCUAUGUGAAACCAGGAUAUGAAGCCAACUUGGAUUCACUGAUACAGGACACAAUCCGGCUAAUAACCUCCACCAAGGACAUUUGCUCGGAAGCAUGCCGGAAAUCUGAACCCACCCUGCGUUAUAUUGGUAA